rnacentral:rRNA from 1 species
UACGUAGGGUGCGAGCGUUGUCCGGAAUUAUUGGGCGUAAAGGGCUCGUAGGCGGUUUGUCGCGUCGGGAGUGAAACACCGGCGUAACUCGGUGCUUGCUUUCGAUACGGGCAGACUAGAGGCAUGCAGGGGAGAACGGAAUUCCUGGUGUAGCGGUGAAAUGCGCAGAUAUCAGGAGGAACACCGGUGGCGAAGGCGGUUCUCUGGGACGGUACUGACGCUGAGACGCGAAAGCGUGGGGAGCGAACAGG